UACGUAGGGUGCGAGCGUUAAUCGGAAUUACUGGGCGUAAAGUGUGCGCAGGCGGCAGAGCAAGUCGAGUGUGAAAGCCCCGGGCUUAACUUGGGAAUUGCGCUCGAAACUACUUUGCUGGAGUGUGGCAGAGGAAGGUGGAAUUCCGACGUGUAGCGGUGAAAUGCGUAGAGAUGUGGAGGAACACCGAUGGCGAAGGCAGCCCCCUGGGUUAACACCUGACGCUCGAG
rnacentral:rRNA from 1 species